GGUGAUGGGUACCAGCCCAUGUUGUGUCUCUGUAUAUAUACAGUAUAUGUACUGUAUGUGUUAUAUUAAUAUUAUUGUAUUUAUAAUUUCAUUUUAAAUAUUCCCUAGUAUUUAAAUACAAAUUUACCAUAUUGCAGUUAAGCUUAGCUAAAUUAGCUAAUACCGUAAAACACAUAUGCAAGGUACAGUAAAUAGGCAGGGCUAGUCAAUACUAAUUAUUACUAAUUCUAAUAAACAAUGUGUGUUUAAAGAGAAUAACAUUUGUUAAAGCUUGUUAAAGCCUCGAAAACAACUUAAGUUUGCUGUUUUCUAGAAUGUUCUGUAUAACGGCAGCCUUUAAAUUAAUAUAGUUUUUAAAUCAAUUAGACAAUAAUAAAGGGCUAAUAACUUUAUUCUCAACUUUCAGCUACAGUACUAAUAUGUCUCGCAGGUCAUUUGGCUCUAAGAUUACAGACACUUAUCUUCAAUUAUCACCUCCAGUAAUGUAGUGGUCUUCUCCCACAGGUGGUCCUCUAUGCGAGGGGGACAUUGAAGAGGCUAAUGGAGUCCUGAAGGUGUUCUGUCCAUGGCAUGACUAUGAAUUUGAACUAAGGACAGGGAAGUCAGGGACCUCUUUACAGCAACAGGUCCACGAAGUCAAGCUGGAGGAUGGCAAUGUGUACGUGAAACACACCAGACGUCUCUCCUUACUGCCUUUUUCUGGAGAUCAGAAGACGGACAACCUCAAACCAGCUGCUUCGUCCAUCAGCCGCAAGUAAGAGACGUUCCACAAACACUAGCCAUUAAAAACAUUCGUAAUCCUUAUGUGUUGAAGGGGAUUGCAGUAAACUCAGGGGGCAACUCAGGGGGCAUUGUGUGCAGUGUGUACAGUGUGUACAACAACAAGUACAGUGUGUACUUGUUGUUGGAAAAGUCGAAUGUUGUUUGUAUAAUUUAGUAACCAUGUUUUGGAGAAAAAAAAUAUGUACCGUAUUUUCCGCACUAUAAGGCGCACCUAAAAUCUGAAAUUUUUUUCAAAAGCUGACUAUGCGCCUUAUAAUCCGGUACGCCUUAUAUAUGGAUCAAUAUUGAGCCGCGACAGGUCUCGCAACUUACGGUAAGCAGCCACCGACUCCAUUUUUCCCCGUAGAAG